GAUUGCCUCAGUAGCGGCGAGUGAAGCGGCAAGAGCUCAGAUUUGAAAUCGUGCUUUGCGGCACGAGUUGUAGAUUGCAGGUUGGAGUCUGUGUGGAAGGCGGUGUCCAAGUCCCUUGGAACAGGGCGCCCAGGAGGGUGAGAGCCCCGUGGGAUGCCGGCGGAAGCAGUGAGGCCCUUCUGACGAGUCGAGUUGUUUGGGAAUGCAGCUCCAAGCGGGUGGUAAAUUCCAUCUAAGGCUAAAUACUGGCGAGAGACCGAUAGCGAACAAGUACUGUGAAGGAAAGAUGAAAAGCACUUUGAAAAGAGAGUGAAACAGCACGUGAAAUUGUUGAAAGGGAAGGGUAUUGCGCGAGAGAAAAGGGGAUUGCGCACCGCUGCCUCUCGUGGGCGGCGCUCUGGGCUUUCCC
rnacentral:rRNA from 2 species